rnacentral:tRNA from 1 species
GCCUGAGUAGUUUAUUUUAAAAUGUUGGUUUGUGGGGCCAAUGAUGUAUUUUUGCCUCAGGCC